rnacentral:rRNA from 1 species
CCUACGGGUGGCAGCAGUGGGGAAUAUUGGACAAUGGGCGAAAGCCUGAUCCAGCCAUGCCGCGUGUGUGAAGAAGGCCUUCGGGUUGUAAAGCACUUUCAGUGGGGAAGAAAGCCUUGGGGCUAAUACCCUCGAGGAAGGACAUCACCCACAGAAGAAGCACCGGCUAACUCCGUGCCAGCAGCCGCGGUGAUACGGAGGGUGCGAGCGUUAAUCGGAAUUACUGGGCGUAAAGCGCGCGUAGGCGGUCUGAUAAGCCGGUUGUGAAAGCCCCGGGCUCAACCUGGGAACGGCAUCCGGAACUGUCAGGCUAGAGUGCAGGAGAGGAAGGUAGAAUUCCCGGUGUAGCGGUGAAAUGCGUAGAGAUCGGGAGGAAUACCAGUGGCGAAGGCGGCCUUCUGGACUGACACUGACGCUGAGGUGCGAAAGCGUGGGUAGCAAACAGGAUUAGAUACCCGUGUAGUC